rnacentral:rRNA from 1 species
CAGCAGCAGCCGCGGGAAUACGUAGGUGGCAAGCGUUGUCCGGAAUUAUUGGGCGUAAAGGGCUCGCAGGCGGUUUCUUAAGUCUGAUGUGAAAGCCCCCGGCUCAACCGGGGAGGGUCAUUGGAAACUGGGAAACUUGAGUGCAGAAGAGGAGAGUGGAAUUCCACGUGUAGCGGUGAAAUGCGUAGAGAUGUGGAGGAACACCAGUGGCGAAGGCGACUCUCUGGUCUGUAACUGACGCUGAGGAGCGAAAGCGUGGGGAGCGAACAGGAUUAGAUACCCCGGUAGUCCCUGUCUCUUAUAC